AUUGAACGCUGGCGGCAUGAUUUACACAUGCAAGUCGAACGGUAACAGGCCGCAAGGUGCUGACGAGUGGCGGACGGGUGAGUAAUGCAUCGGAACGUGCCCAGUCGUGGGGGAUAACUACUCGAAAGAGUAGCUAAUACCGCAUACGAUCUAUGGAUGAAAGCGGGGGACCGUAAGGCCUCGCGCGAUUGGAGCGGCCGAUGUCAGAUUAGGUAGUUGGUGGGGUAAAGGCUCACCAAGCCAACGAUCUGUAGCUGGUCUGAGAGGACGACCAGCCACACUGGGACUGAGACACGGCCCAGACUCCUACGGGAGGCAGCAGUGGGAAUUUUGGACAAUGGGCGCAAGCCUGAUCCAGCAAUGCCGCGUGCAGGAAGAAGGCCUUCGGGUUGUAAACUGCUUUUGUACGGAACGAAACGGCUCUGGUUAAUACCCGGGGCUAAUGACGGUACCGUAAGAAUAAGCACCGGCUAACUACGUG
rnacentral:rRNA from 1 species